rnacentral:misc_RNA from 1 species
AUGAUUUUCAAAGGAUGUGCUGGCAACUAAACAGUUGCAUGUGCACUCUGACAUCAUUCACCUGUGCACAUUUUGUAGAUGGGAGGUAGCAGCAAUGUUAUCUCAUUGUCUAUGAUUUUUUACACCCUGUUUAAAAAAAAUUGUAUGCAUUUGAAAAUAAAUA